ensembl:lncRNA novel transcript, antisense to GNG2 and C14orf166
UUUUUUUCUCUGAAUUUGAAGGAGUUCUUUGACCUAUUCUGAAUGGAGUGUCCAACACCAUUAUUGUGGGUGAUUGAGACUCAUCCGUAUGAACUAUUCACCUUCGUACCUCCCGUUUACAACUCAGCAUUGCUGGAAGAGCUGAACAGCCGCAUGGAUCAUUUUUCAAUUAUAGAAAAACAAAUUCUAAGCCUGAGAGAAAAAGUGCAUGAGAAAGAAAGGGAGGAAUAUAGCUGCUAGCAGACAAGACAUAUACUUCCCAGCUCCACCACUGUGACUCUUUUAAUUCAAAGAGAUUUUUCAAUUUUCCAGUGAGAUUCUGGCCUCAAUUCCUGUCCUAGGCUCAGAAAAAGCACAAUAGUUUCUUUAUACAUCUUUUCUUUUAAAAAGCUCCCUGGAAAAUAUUGUAAAUAUGCUACUAUAUUGAGGUUUGAUAAUAAAGGGAAAAAUUUUGCUCUUUAUACCCA